GCCCGGCUAGCUCAGUCGGUAGAGCAUGAGAC
rnacentral:piRNA from 8 species